GCAUCUGAAAAUUGCUGCCGGCCAAACGCGCGAAAUCGAAUAUUCGCACGACAAUUCGCGUGCCCGUGUGCAAACCGCGUUUCACACAUUUACGUGCACGCGAGAACAAUGGAGACUGUUUUAAGAUUCGAGGUGUUGUACACAUGCGCUGUCUUAGGUUAUACUGAAUGUAACAUGCAUUCUUGACUUUUAGUAUAACCCUCACGUUUUAACGAUGUAUUUU